rnacentral:lncRNA from 1 species
CGCCCGUUCGCGCUGCCAGCAGCUUCCGCCUGCUACGGUCCUGGCAAGCACCUCGGGAUCCCAUUCCUUCACAGGGACCCUAGCCAGGCAAGCGCGCGCCUCACUGUACCGGAGAGCUCCAAGCACGCGCUUGGUCUGGGGCCCGGACGCUACAUCUGGGAAGGGGUGGGUGGCUGGGUAGAUAGGCGAGGAAGGAUCGUCUCUACCCUCUCUCAAGUAGCUGAGGCCUCCGAAACCUUCCCUAGCUGGAUUUGGGGACAGAGGAGCGCUGUUAAAGCUGAUACAUUCCUGUGGGUCAACUAUGCAACUAACUCAGAUUUUGAGCAAACAAAGCUCUCAAGUUGGUGAUCCUCAGGAGUCUCUGCAUUAGUUGGACAGCUCUUCUGGAAUUAUCUUCUAAGUCAACUGUGGGUUGGGUAGGUGGCUCUGCUGAUUUUUCGCUGGACUUCCACAUUUGGGACGAGUUGGCUGUCAUCAGCUCUAGAAAGGGUGUGGCCGUUUUACAUUGGCUGUUUUCCUCACAUUCCUCAAGCAGGUACUGUAAUAAAGAACUGGAGAAAUACAGUCAGAUGGGAAGUAGCCCUUGCUGUCAAGGAGCUUGCCAUCUAAUGGGGGAGACAGGCAAGUAAACCAAAGACUACACAGUGCAGUAUGGUAAGUGCCAUGAUUUUGAUGUGACAGGGCACAGUGGACGACCUUCCAAAUCAAAGCAAGUAACUAGGGGUUGACAAUGGUAAGUAUCAUAGUUGAAGUAUCCUUGAACAAGGUUUCAGGAAGAAGAAGAAGGGAAUUUCAUGCAGGGAAACAGCCAAAGCUCAGUGAGUCAAAAUAUCACAGCAUUCUUGGUAAGCCCAAUUGUUUUUUCUGUUUUGCUAUUUUGGUGGAGAGAAAGGAACACAUAAAGGAAUAACAUGAGAGAAGGCUAUUUGGGGAAGUGUAGUAGUUAAGGUUCUGGCUCAAACAACAACUGCAGCUCAUAAAGUUGACUUUAGUGGAAGGAUACUGGGGUAUCUCAUGGAAUCUUGGGAACUGUUGAAUAACCAGGGAAACUCUGGGAAACUCACUGGUAGGAAUCCAUAAACUGUCCUCCUGGUGGGCUGUAAACAACUCACCCUCUAUGCAUCUCACAUCAAAAUUCCAGUUUCUUGGGAAAACAAGUCUGUUUGCCCAAUUUGGGUCAUAUUUCCACGUCCAUGUUACUCAGGCAUGAUUCAUCUGCAAGUUAUGUGUAUAGAUAUUUUGCUACUGUUCCACCCUUACGCUGUGCUGGGGAGGGAGGUGUCACUGUGAGCUGUGUCGGUGCCUUAAGAGAUAUCUGUUGUGUCUUAUUACUUGGUUGCUUUUCCCCACAUGUACAAUGACAAAAAUGCCUUCAACCUAUUUGAUCCAGCCGUUCCAGUACAACUCCUAUACUUGCCAUCUUUCCAAGCCCAAAGGUACAUCCAGCUGAUGGAAGGAGCAUCUUGGUGUUAAUAUUCUUUUAGUCAUGGUCUCUGAAAGUAAAAUGUCUAUUCUUCUAAUUCUGGCACAAUCUUAUCUAGCUAUAGUUCCUCAUGGUCCUGCACUCCAUGGACUAAAUUAUGAUGAAACUGAAACACAAAAAAUUUAGAUUAACUCUUAGGUGACAAAGCCAGGAUUGAAGCUCAUGCGGUCUGGCUCCAGAACAACUCUUCUUCAUAGUUACGUUAUACUGCCCCUGCAUUGUUGGUAUUGAAACUGAGAAAAAAGCUGUGGCCCAAAAGUUUCUCCCCUGAGAGGGACAGGAUCAGAUUGUCUUUUCAAGAGUUCCCAUGUGCAAUACAGAGCUGAAGUUGAAGCUGAAAGGAUUCAUAGAGAAAGGCCAGUAUAAAUCUUCAGCAUACCAAAGUUAUGAGAAAGGAGAAAGCUUGCAAUGCAUGUAUAGAGGAGGUGCUGAGGAGUUGGUGGUAGCAGCAGACAAGGGAGGAGAAAUGGAUAGAAUCAUGGUUAUUGUCAAGGUGGAGGAUCCGUGAACUGCAACUGAAGAGGGCUAGUGACAUGACCCAGUUCUUAGGGCUGUCUCUAUUCCUGAAUAUUUACUUAAUAUAAGGCAAUUCUUAUAUAGCAUUAGGGUAAAAAAAAAAAAAAAAGGAUUCGAAGUUUCCGAGAGACUUCUGUUUCAGCCAUAACAGAAUAGUGAAUUUACCUUCCCCCAGUAAAUAGCCAUAAAAUUAAAUAAAGUAAAUAAAACCAACUGUUUUCAGACAUUGGACAAUAGAAAGCACAGAACUCUAUGAUCCUUGAGAGAAGGGGAACAAAGAAGGUGUUAAUCACAAAGCAAUUUAAUUUACAUAAGCAAGGAAUAUAUUAAACAUCUAUUUAGAAAUCAUUUGCAUGAAUGUUCAAUAUUCACUUUAUUUCCAGAGUCAUCCAUAUGUAAUCUGGAUUACUUAGAGGCUGUCACGUUAGCCAACAUUAAUGUAUAAUGAAAGCGCAUCAGUUUAAUAUAAGCAUCCACAAGUGACCAUAUGGGAGAAGCAGUUAACAUUGAGCUUGCUGCAAUACUAAGGGAGUUACUUUUAUAAAAAUUAGGCUAUAAAAAAAAAUUAGGCUGUAGUCUCCAUAAUGUAUUAUACAACUAAUUUAACUCUGGAAAUCUACCUAUAAUCCUACAAAAUAUUUGCAGAUAAUCAACUGCAAGUUCAGACUUGGAAAUAAACAAAAGAACUACCCACUGUUUGCUUAAAUCCGCUUAGGUCAGCAAUAUACCUGAAAUUCAGUAGCUUGCUGUCAGUUA